rnacentral:lncRNA from 1 species
AAAUCAGGGCACCCAGUGGCCGCUGCCAGGCUGAGCUAUGGAGCCAGAGCAGCUGGAAACGGCCUCCCGUGGGCCGAGUUAGGCGAGAGAGCCUGGUGGUGAAACCGACCUGGGGCCCAGCCCUAUGGAGCUCACAGUCUGGUGGGGAAGUCUAUGAAACAAGUGUACAGUCACCAAUUGUGAUAAGCUCAAAAGAGAGAGGUAAGGUCGUGGUUACUUGGAAAGAGGUCAAACAAACUUUCUGAAUGGCAAUCAAACCUUAUCAACAGUCACCACCUGUCAUUGUCAACAUUUAUCAAUGAAUGAGUGUGCCUGUUUAUUGCCUGGAAUGUUAUGAAAACCAGCCUCACUGAACCUUGACCCAACAUACCGUGUUUCAUUUCUGCAAAGUUAGUAAUCAGUAAUGCAACUGGUGGCCCUUGAUUAAUCCAUUGAGUCAUAUUUAAUUUGCUUUUAUGAACUCUUGGGCUUUGGAGAAAUGCCUGCAUUCUGUUCCAGUUAGCCAUCAUAGUACCCUGGGGAUCCCAACCCUGCAAUACCAGAGUGAUUUACCCAGGAUGCCUGCCUCUCACAUCUUUUAUUUUCUGUCUUAUCUCCGUUUUGGCGUUUGGAAAGAUGAUUUUUGCAACUCGGUAAUUAUAUAGUGUUUUGCUUAGGAAAGAAAUGUGACCGAAACUCUAGAGAAGCAAACUAGAAUGUUUGAAGACUGCUAAGUGACUCCUGGGCUGGAAGGAUUCUUGCUCAAGGCACAGAGCAAGCAGCCAAGAGAGGGUUUUUGUUGUUUGCUUUUUUUUUUUUUUUUUUUUUUGAGAUGGAGUCUCACUCUGUCACCCAGGCUGGAGUGCAAUGGCAUGAUCUCGGCUCACUGCAACCUCUGCCUCCUGGGUUCAAGUGAUUCUCUUGUGUGUCAGCCUCUCAAGUGGCUGGGAUUACAGGCAUGUGCCACCACAC